rnacentral:rRNA from 1 species
GACGAACGCUGGCGGCGUGCUUAACACAUGCAAGUCGAACGGAAAGGCCCUGCUUUUGUGGGGUGCUCGAGUGGCGAACGGGUGAGUAACACGUGAGUAACCUGCCCUUGACUUUGGGAUAACUUCAGGAAACUGGGGCUAAUACCGGAUAGGAGCUCCUGCUGCAUGGUGGGGGUUGGAAAGUUUCGGCGGUUGGGGAUGGACUCGCGGCUUAUCAGCUUGUUGGUGGGGUAGUGGCUUACCAAGGCUUUGACGGGUAGCCGGCCUGAGAGGGUGACCGGCCACAUUGGGACUGAGAUGCGGCCCAGACUCCUACGGGAGGCAGCAGUGGGGAAUAUUGCACAAUGGGCGGAAGCCUGAUGCAGCAACGCCGCGUGUGGGAUGACGGCCUUCGGGUUGUAAACCGCUUUCGCCUGUGACGAAGCGUGAGUGACGGUAAUGGGUAAAGAAGCACCGGCUAACUACGUG